rnacentral:rRNA from 1 species
UUCGGCUGGGUCUUGCACAGGUGCUGCAUGGCUGUCGUCAGCUCGUGUCGUGAGAUGUUGGGUUAAGUCCCGCAACGAGCGUAACCCUCACCCUUAGUUGCCAGCGGGUAAUGCCGGGGACUUUAAGGGAACUGCCAGUGGUAAGCUGGAGGAAGGUGGGGAUGAUGUCAAGUCAGCAUGGCCCUUAUGGGGUGGGCUACACACGUGCUACAAUGGUGACUACAAUAGGUUGCAAUGYCGCAAGGCUGAGCUAAUCCGUCAAAAGUCAUCUUAGUUCGGAUUGUCCUCUGCAACUCGAGGGCAUGAAGCAGGAAUCGCUAGUAAUCGUGGAUCAGCAUGCCACGGUGAAUACGUUCUCGGGUCUUGUACACACUGCCCGUCACGCCAUGGGAAUUGGCUUAACU